rnacentral:pre_miRNA from 1 species
CAUGUACUCCCUCCGUCCAAAAAUACUCAUCGGAGAAAUGGUCGUAUCUAGACGUAUUUUAGUUCUACAUGCAUCCAUUUUUAUUUAUUUUUAUGACAAGUAUUUCCGGACGGAGAAAAUAGUAC